AUUGAACGCUGGCGGCAGGCCUAACACAUGCAAGUCGAGCGAGCGGCGGACGGGUGAGUAAUGUAUGGGGACUGCCCGAUAGAGGGGGAUAACUCCUGGAAACGGUGGCUUAUCACGCAUACUAUCGGAUAACACAUAUGGGAUUAGGUAGUAGGUGGGGUAAAGGCUCACCUAGGCGACGAUCUCGAGCUGGUCUGAGCGGAUGAUCAGCCACACUGGAACUGAGACACGGCACAGACUCCGACGGAGGACGCAGUGGGGAAUAUUGCACAAUGGGCGCAAGCCUGAUGCAGCCAUGCCGCGUGUAUGAAGAAGGCCUUAGGGUUGUAAAGUACUUUCAGCGGGGAGGCGUUACCCGCAGAAGAAGCACCGGCUAACUCCGUGCCAGCAGCCGCGGUAAUUC
rnacentral:rRNA from 1 species